rnacentral:rRNA from 1 species
UACUCCCCAGGCGGUCAACUUCACGCGUUAGCUACGUUACUAAGGAAAUGAAUCCCCAACAACUAGUUCGACAUCGUUUAGGGCGUGGACUACCAGGGUAUCUAAUCCUGUUUGCUCCCCACGCUUUCGUGCAUGAGCGUCAGUGUUAUCCCAGGGGGCUGCCUUCGCCAUCGGUAUUCCUCCACAUCUCUACGCAUUUCACUGCUACACGUGGAAUUCUACCCCCCUCUGACACACUCUAGCCGUGCAGUCACCAAUGCAAUUCCCAAGUUAAGCUCGGGGAUUUCACAUCGGUCUUGCACAACCGCCUGCGCACGCUUUACGCCCAGUAAUUCCGAUUAACGCUUGGACCCUACGUAUUACCGCGGCUGCUGGCACGUAGUUAGCCGGUCCUUAUUCUUCCGGUACCGUCAUCGACCCCAGGUAUUAACCAGAGCCAUUUCUUUCCGGACAAAAGUGCUUUACAACCCGAAGGCCUUCUUCACACACGCGGCAUUGCUGGAUCAGGCUUUCGCCCAUUGUCCAAAAUUCCCCACUGCUGCCUCCCGUA